rnacentral:tRNA from 1 species
GCCUCUAUGGUGAAAUUGGUAUACACGAAAAACUCAAAAUUUUUUGCUUUUAGCGUAUCGGUUCAAAUCCGAUUAGAGGUU